rnacentral:rRNA from 1 species
GACGAACGCUGGCGGCGUGCCUAAUACAUGCAAGUUGAGCGAUGAAGAUUGGUGCUUGCACCAAUUUGAAGAGCAGCGAACGGGUGAGUAACGCGUGGGGAAUCUGCCUUUGAGCGGGGGACAACAUUUGGAAACGAAUGCUAAUACCGCAUAACAACUUUAAACAUAAGUUUUAAGUUUGAAAGAUGCAAUUGCAUCACUCAAAGAUGAUCCCGCGUUGUAUUAGCUAGUUGGUGAGGUAAAGGCUCACCAAGGCGAUGAUACAUAGCCGACCUGAGAGGGUGAUCGGCCACAUUGGGACUGAGACACGGCCCAAACUCCUACGGGAGGCAGCAGUAGGGAAUCUUCGGCAAUAGACGAAAGUCUGACCGAGCAACGCCGCGUGAGUGAAGAAGGUUUUCGGAUCGUAAAACUCGGUUGGUAGAGAAGAACGUUGGUGAGAGUGGAAAGCUCAUCAAGUGACGGUAACUACCCAGAAAGGGACGGCUAACUACGUG